CUUUCAAUAGCCCCGUUCCCGUUUUUUACCGAAUUUCUGUGAAAAAUUCGGCAAACGGCGUUUAAAACGGCAAAAAAACGGGACGCCGUUUUAAACGCGUUUUAAACGCGAAUUAACUAACUAGGGGUAAGACCAUAAGAGCCUUAUAGGUAGGAAUACAAUAUUUGUUUGGGUCUUUGUUGUUGUUAGGCCUGAUGUUUGCACCAUCUCCCAUCUCUAGAGUUAGUCUUUUAAUAAAAUAGGUUUGCUCCUUUUUUAUUAUUUUCUUGAGUAUAACAUUAUCUGCUAUCAGCAAUGAUGCUAUCCUACUUGGGUUGGUUGACAUUUUUUCUGUUGUUGCGUUCAACUGUCAGCAUCCAGAAAUUGCUUUGAGAACCUUUCAUCCCAGAUUAAAAUUUAUUAAAAUUUGUAUAUUGAUGUUCUUUCUUGUCUGGUGAAUAAUUAUUGAAUAAGUUCCUUGCAGAGCUUUCCUCCAUAUCAAAAGAUCAAGUAUAUAUACUCUUCUUCAGGUGUGUGUCGAGGAGGUAACUAUGUCUUUUCUGUAUAUCUUUCAAGUCUUAUUUAAAACGUGCUGAUUUUUCAAUCUUCUAAGACAUGGACUUUGUUGGAAUUCUGCGUGAACCGUUAAUUAUUACUAUUAUUAUUUUGCUUUUUUGGUGGGGUGUGCUAGUCCCGUGCUGAUGCAGUUGGGCUUCAGAUUUAGGGCUACAUGUUUAGUUUGAUUCUUUCCUUUCUAGAAUCACAAACAAAUCACAUUAAUUGGUAGUUGUGACCUGAUAUGUUUUUGAUCCCGUCUUCAGGAAGAGGAUACCAAGGGACAAUUUAAUAAACAACUUAGAGUGGAGCACUGUAAUGUUGAACAUCUUGGAUGGGCAAAAAGGGCUCAUGUGGCUUGUCAGGACGCAGGUGCAUAUUUACGGUGGAUAAAAAGAUCAAAACCGUAGAACCUUCUUGGCUCGAUUGAAACCUGGAGAACCCUCUUGGCUUUUCACUAUAGGAGUCAAUAGUUGGACAUUGGGACACGUAGCAUGAGAGGUUAUUGUAUAGUACAUAUGAAGAUUUUGCACAAAGGGGUUGUCUAUUAGUGUUUGAUCAGUGGUUGACUCCCCUUGUGGGGCCCUUUAACCCUAUAGUGAGGAUCUUCCCCCAUAAUGCAUACCAAGAGCAACCAAUUUUGUAUUUCCAGAUUUUUCUGUCAGUCGAGACUUUUCAUCUAAAAAUGUCCUUGGAUUUAUCCUGAUUGCAA